GGGGAUACUAGAGUAAAGCACGCUAAACCAAUAAAACAGCAACACGCUUCCGCGCUCCUUUUCAUUUUCCAUCUAUAAAUACAGAGAUUUGGUUUUUGCUUUAAGCCACAAUGAGUUGAUAGCUUCCGCCGUGUUUUAGGAAAGGCGAAUAAUUUUUUCAAACUCCAACGACUGCGUUUUGAACUUGUGAUCUUCCAUUUCUGCUAA
rnacentral:misc_RNA from 1 species